ncrna:unclassified sequences RAGATH-18 RNA
GCUGUGGAGCGUCAAACAAACCCAAGUAGUCACGACGAACGGGGACGCUGUGAAGCAGUAA